ACCAUUUAUCUUCCUAUGCAUAAAUCAUCCACUAAAUCAUUUUUGUCAUUGUCAUUGUUGUCUCCUCCUUCAUCUCUUUCUCCUCUAUCUUCUUCUCUUCCUCCUCUUCUUUCUCCUCUUUCUUCUUCUCCUCCUCCUCCUUCAUCUCUUUCUCCUCUUUCUUCUUCUCCUCCUUCUCCUUCAUCUCUUUCUCCUCUUUCUUCUUCUUCUCUUUCUCUUUCUCCUCCUCUUCCUCCUCCUUCAUCUCUUUCUCCUCUUUCCUCUUCUCCUUCUCCUUCUCCUCCUUCUCCUUCAUCUCUUUCUCCUCUUUCUUCUUCUUCUCCUCUUUCUCUUUCUCCUCCUCCUUCUCCUUCACCUCUUUCUCCUCUUUCUUCUCCUUCUCCUUCUCCUUCUCCUCUUCCUCCUCCUCCUUGGGACAGAAUGGACCUAAUGACCCUGUAGGCCCACCCACUGACCCUUAGACUCAGGUCCUGAUGAUUUCCAAGCUCAAGUUUAGUCUUUAAGAAUCUUGCAUGUUAUACUCCCCAUAUACACAUCAGCUUGGGUACCUGAUGAAGGGCAAAUAUCUUCUCUGAGCAGGAAACUUUCCCUUCAAAAAAGGAGGAAGCCAGGGCCUAUAGCAGGCACCCGGCCAGGUAGGGUCCGGAGCUUAUCAGAUUCAGACAAAAGUCCUGGGUUCCGGUGAUAGGCUCUACUGUUUUUCCUGGCGCAUACCAAUCUCUGAAAUUGGAAGCAGUUCAGGGUGUAGCCUGGGGCCCUGGCUCUAUUUCAUAUCUAUUUAAGCCUUAGUUUCUUUAUCUGUAAACUAAGGGGGUUGGAAUGGGUAUUUUCUAAGCUUUUUCUCUGCUCAAAAGUCCUUGUUCUUAAGUUCCCACAAAGUUUGACAUUCUGGGUUCUAAGGUCUCUCCCUGCUCUGACAUUCUAUGCUCUGAACUCCCUCUCAGAUCUAGCAUUCCCUGUUCUAAGGACCUUCCCAACUCUGCCAAUUCUGAGUCUUCCUUUUUAAAAAUCCUCAGGGAGCAGAGGAGAGGGAGGAGGCUGGUGGGGAAGAGCUGGCUUUUCUCUUCUUCCAGGGAAGUGACUAGAGGCCUCAGAGACACAUAACUAAGGGGGGAGGUAAGGGGGGGGCUGGAAUCUUUGGGUACAAGGGCAGUCCUCUGCUCUCUCCUCCCUCCUCUAAAACCUACAUUGAUCAGACUAUAUGCUAUUUGGACUGACUUGAGAAAGAUCUAGAAUUCUCAGGAUGGGGACUCAGAAGCAAACGAGCUCUGUGAGGGGAUGGAGGUUCAGUGAUAGAAUGGGGUCUGAGUCUGGACAUAGAAAGCUCAGUGAAGAAAUAAUGGGGUCUCAAUGAAGGCAGCAUGGGCUCAUUAAAUAGGAUGGUACUCAGUGACUCCAGG
rnacentral:lncRNA from 1 species